UGUGGCUGGGAGAAGGGGUCUGUGUGAAUAUUAAAUGAGAAAACAGGGAAAUCACCUAGCACAGAGCCUGAUGGAUGCAGGUACUCAAUAGACUGCCAAGAUUUGAUGCCCACUUCCUGCUA